GGAUGCUAGGUCUUCAGACCCUGCGCGUGCCCUGUAGUCACGGGAGCCCCCGAGCCAGGUCAGGUGUCCUUGACCUGGAACUGGGACCUACGGAGGGCUUAGCGGCUGGCCAGGGGGUCGUCUUCCUCGGUGACGGCCUGGCCCCCUUCUGCCUCUGUCUGCCUAGCCGCCUCCUAACACGGCCACUCGAAUUCAAGAUCAUCUUUGAUAAGGUUAACCUGCUACUGCCGCCUUGCAACAGAAUUUUAACCACCUGAGGCCUCUCACUGCACCCAGUUCAGCUUAAGUCGGACCCAGAAUGAGCCCAGACGAGAAGCUGCGGAGGAUCCCGGAGGGCCCUGGGCUCGCCUGCCGGCGGCGAGGGAGGAAGCCGUCCGCGAGCGCGGGAAACCGCGAGUCCCGCGCCCACCAGGGCCUCAAUUGCUUAGUCUGAGUUGGGUGGAAACCCAUUGUCUCCACACACCAGUACCUACUGGGAAACUCCUCAGGCUUCCUCAUUCGCCCCCCAGGAUGUUUAACGACACCACGUGCUUCAAUGCAAACAUACAGUCAGAGCAAGUAAACAUGCUUCUGCCCUUUUCUGAAUAAGUAUUUGUCAGGUUUUACAUGUCUUUUAAUGUCAGAAGUGCCAGGUAGGAUUGUGCCUCUAAUGUCUUCAUCUUUAAUUUGCUUGUUUUCUAUAACUCCUAUCUGUCUUACUAUUAGCCUAAAGACCAAUGUGUAGCAAAUUAGUCUGCUGUUAAGAUUCAUCCCAGAUCCUCCAGAGCUGAACCUGUAUUUUCCUUUCUUACUCUUGAACACAUUCACAGCACAUAGGGGGAACUAAAGAAUAGAAACUUAUUGGUCUAGGAGCUUUUUAUUAACCCUUAUUUUCUCACUUUCUUUUUUCUUUCUACUACUUUUAUUUUAAAAAUGUGCAUUGGAAUACUGAAGGCUUGGAAAAAUCGUGAGAUUAACAAGGGGACAAUAUGGGUGUGGAAGGCAUGUAUGAACACAAAAGACAAGGAUUAGUAAGAAAUUUCCUCAGUUAUAAAUAUGCUUCCAGGAGUUUUUCCAGGAAAUGAAAAAGAUCUGAUUGAACCUGGAAGUUAAAAAAAAAAAAAGCAGUGAGUUAGGAAAAACAGAAGAAAAUCCUUGUCUGAAAAUUGUGGGGAAAAAUAUCCAGAUAUUAAAAUAGACAUAAAUGGAUGCAAGAAUGAAGUGAAUCCAAAGAGUAUAGAAUGGAUGGAGUGAUGAUGAAUACUGAUGGGGAAGGUUGAAAUAUACUCAGAUUUUUUAGACAUAAAAAUCCAGACAAGGUAUUUGCAAGUUGGUUGUCUUAGAGUUUGAGGAAUGCAAAUAGCUAAAAUACAAACAGCUGAAGUUUAAGAUACUUGAGAUGAAGAUGUCCACAUGUAAGAUACAAUGAAAAUAAUAGUAACCAAGGACUAGAAAUUCAUAUAAACA